rnacentral:tRNA from 1 species
GCAUGCGUGGUCGUAUGGUUAUGCUAUUCGCUUUGUAAGCGGAUGAUCAUGGGUUCGUUUCCCAUCUGCC